rnacentral:sRNA from 1 species
ACUGGGUGCAGUGGCUUGUGCCUGUAAUCCCAGUGACCUUGGAGGCUGAGGCAGGAGGUUCCUGAGUUCAAAGCCAGUCUCAGCAAUUUAGCGAGGCCCUGAGCAACUUAGUGAGACCCUGUCUCAA